rnacentral:lncRNA from 1 species
UCUAUUAAGUUAUUUUAAUCUUGAAUAAUCAGCAAAGUACCAUGCCAUUCUCUUUUUUUACAGUGUCUAUGGAGUCUUAAAGAUUCUGGAAAGCAAUUCACACUUACAAGGAAGAAGCAAGAUAUUUCAGAUAACCAAAAAAGUAACAUGGGGGAAAUGCUGUCUAGUUACUACCUUCCACAAAGAUUGGUGGUGAUUUUCCUUUUUCUACUCACACACUAUCAUGGAAAGUGUUAUCUGGCCACAUGUGAGGCUCAGAGCUGGGGGAUAUACAUGUUAUAACAAAUCCUUGAUUAACAGAGGCCCAUACUGAGCUGCAGUCUGCUCUCCUGUGUCCCUGCUGAGAAUUAUUGUGCAAAGGUUUGUCUUGACAGGCAGUCCUAUAAAAAUUGGAGCUUAUCUGCUAUAUUGCUUUGAUAUUUCA